rnacentral:rRNA from 1 species
ACCCGCAAGGGUGAGUAAAGUGGCGUACGGGUGAGUAACACGUGGGUGAUCUACCUUCUGGUGGGGAAUAACACUGGGAAACCGGUGCUAAUACCGCAUAAGCCCGAAAGGGGAAAGGAGCAAUUCGCCGGAAGAGGAGCCCGCGGCUGAUUAGCUAGUUGGUAGGGUAAUGGCCUACCAAGGCAAUGAUCGGUAGCCGGCCUGAGAGGGCACACGGCCACACUGGCACUGAAACACGGGCCAG